UACAGAGGUCUCAAGCGUUGUUCGGAUUCAUUGGGCGUAAAGGGUGCGUAGGCGGCGCGGUAAGUCGGGUGUGAAAUCUCGGGGGCUUAACUCCGAAACUGCAUUCGAUACUGUGGUGCUCGAGGACUGGAGAGGAGACUGGAAUUCAUGGUGUAGCAGUGAAAUGCGUAGAGAUCAUGAGGAAGACCAGUGGCGAAGGCGGGUCUCUGGGCCGUACUGACUGCGUGAGGAGCGAAAGCGUGGGGAGCGAACAGG
rnacentral:rRNA from 1 species